UAAAACUCACAUUGUGACCCUCAGACUUGG
rnacentral:piRNA from 1 species